rnacentral:rRNA from 1 species
UACGUGGGGAGCAAGCGUUGUUCGGAUUUACUGGGCGUAAAGGGCGCGUAGGCGGCCUCUGCAAGUCGACUGUGAAAUCUCCGGGCUUAACCCGGAAAGGUCAGCCGAUACUGCAGGGCUAGAGUGCAGAAGGGGCAACUGGAAUUCUCGGUGUAGCGGUGAAAUGCGUAGAUAUCGAGAGGAACACCUGCGGCGAAGGCGGGUUGCUGGGCUGACACUGACGCUGAAGCGCGAAAGCUAGGGGAGCGAACGGG